AUAUAUUUAUUUAGAUUUUCUAAAAAUUGAUAAAAUUAUAUAUCUAUUUUUUAAAUUAAAUAAUAAAAUCAUACAUAUUUUAUGAUCAUUUUUAAAUUUGAUUAAAUAAUUAGAAACAUUUUUUUUUGAAAAUAAGACUGGGGUUUUAUUGAGAUAAAAAAAAAACUAACAGGCGGCCCAAUCAAUGGCCCAAAGAUUUGUCAAAGAAAACUAAAUUGAAAACUAUCCAACUUCUUUCUAACUAAACGGAACUAGAGAAACAAUAAAUGAAAUUAAAAAAACAAUUCAAAACCUAACCCAGUCAAAUCAAACACAGCUGGAAUCCAAAAAUAUCAAUUGAAUCGUCAUUUCCAAAGCUCCUAACGUUCCAUCGACAGCAGUCCCCAAGGCAUUAAUACUUCACUCUGCUAUCUAUUUUGAUUUCUUCUUCUGUGAAUCAAAUCUUCAAUCUAGAUUUCUUGGCCAAAUUUCUACCGAGGCAAAAGUAUGGCGAUCCAGUUCUUCUCCCCUCAGAUAAGUAGUCUCUCCUUUUUCAAGCGCAUUUUUUGCUAAUCUGUGAGCAUAUGAGUUCUUUGAUCUAUGAAUAUACUAAAAAAUGAGUUCUUGAAAAUCAGAUUUCUUGCUCUGAAUAUCUCUGAUAAUGGCUCCGAUUGCUGAUUUGUCUGUGGUAGUCUCCUGACAUUUCCUUAUUACUGUUCUUGAAUCCCCUAUAAGUUUUACUGAGUGGGUUCUUAGUGAAAUCCCUAGCUUUGUACCAUCUAAACAUGCAUAUGCCUCUGCCGCAAAAGGAGAAGGAACAUUGCUAUGAAUAACUGUCUUUAACACUGUUAAGUUUCCCCUCAGAUUCCAUCCUACCAGGUCGGAAGCUGAUCUGAAAGUUUUGUUGUCGUACACAGCAUCAAAAAGGAUCCUGACUCUCGGUAUGUCCUCUUGUACUCCAUAGCUUCUGCAUAUACUCUCAUUAUUCUUUAAAGCUUUUAAUCAUUCCUGUUCUGCCAUGUAUCUUUAAAUAUUAAGUACUAAAGCCCUUCCUGUUGUGUUUUUCCUCUCGUGAAUAUAUUGAUUUCUGGAGAACCAUAUCCACCACAACGCAUAACAGAAAAGAAGACAUUGACAGCUGUUACUCCUCUUGAAAACCCAGGUUAGCCACUCCCACAUAGAUUGACUCGUAUUAUUCAUAAUCCAUGAGAAAUUUAACAGAUACCAUACUUCAGUUGUCAUAGGGCAAUCUCGAAAGACGUGGAGGCUUCCUUCAACUUCAGAUCUGCAUUGGGGACAUCUGUCAUUUGUAACAACUCUCCUGAUUCUGAAAUUAGCAAAGUUUGGAAUAAAAUCCCAAGAGAUCCACCAGAUUGUAAAUGCAAUUUUUGAUGGUAUCUAUAGGCUCCAAAGUUUCUUGUAAAAUUCUUUUGUUUCGGUCUGUAAUAAAUAGUUUCUAGGAUCUAGAUUAGCAUCUUGUAAUAGUUUAUAAGCACUGCAGACCGAAAACUCACCAGAUAAUUCUCCUUUCCAAACCUGGAAAUCCUUAUGCUCAAUCUCUGUGAAGGGAAUCUGAAGAAUUUUCUGAGCAAUGUCCUCUUGAAAGGUAUUAUUAACCAAUUCCAAUUUCCAUUCUCUGUUUGAUUAAUCAAUAAGGUCCGAAACUAACCCAAUUUCACCUCUGUUUGUUCUGUUAUGUGUAUCAAUUUUGUCAACCCCCUGAAUCCAGCAAUCUUUCCAUAUCGAGAUUUUAUCCCCUCUGCCCACUCUCCAACACAUCCCUUUUUGGAGAAGACCCUUUGCAGCCCAGAUACUUUUCCAAGUAAAAGAAGGUAAAUUUCCCAGCUUCGCAGUUAAGAAACUAGAGUACGGGUAUUACUUUGCUUUUAAGAUUUUGGCUAAAAAAGAAUUUGGGUAAUUAAUGAGACGCCAACCUUGCUUCGCUAAUAACACUAUUAAAUUGACCAAAAUUUCGAAAGCCCAUCCCACCAUUUUCUUUUAAUGAACAGAGAUUUUUCCAAGUGCACCAAUGUAUUCCUCUUCUGCCUUUUCCUUUCUGCCACCAGAAUUUAGCAACAAUACUUUCCAACUCAUCACAUAGAGUUCUAGGAAAUAGAAAACAAGCCAUCGGAUAGGUUGGAAUAACCUGUAGAAUUGCCUUUAUAUAAACUUAUUUACCUCAUUGUGAUAGAAAUAUAUAGCUCCAAUUGUCGAUGCAUUUUUUGAACCGGUCCUUCAGACCUUGAAAAGCUUCCUUCUUCCUUCGACCCACCAUAUUGGGUAACCCCAAAUAUCUUUAUGGUUCACUCAACCUUCGGACCCCCAUCAAAUUUACAAUCUGUCUUCUAUCCUCUUCCAACGUGUUUUUGCUAAAAAAUACUGAAGAUUUUUCAAAGUUUACACUGUCCCGACUGAAUUUUGUAUUCAUCCAAAAUUUCCUUGAAGAUGUUACCACUCCCGCUUGUUGCUUCUCCAAACAAAAUGCAAUCAUCGGCAAAUAAAAUAUGGGAAGCCUGUGGCCCAUUCCUACUAACCCUCACUCCCUUUAAGGUGCCUCUUCUCAUUGCUUGUCUCGGUAAGCUCGAUAAGCCCUCACCGCAUAAAAGAAAUAAAAAUGGGCUAAACCUUGUCUCAGUACUCUGGUUGGCAAAAAUUUUUCCCUGCAAUGUCCAUUGAUAACUACAGAGUAGGAAACGGUAGAAACACAUUUCAUUAUGGCCCUUACCCAUUUAAGAUCAAACCCCAUUCUUAUCAUGAGUUCUUUUAUAAAACUCCAUUCAACCCUGUUAUAAGCUUUACUCAUAUCAAGUUUAACGGCCAUAAAUCAUUUUUUCCCCAGUCUCUUCUGUUUUAAUUUAUGUAGUACUUCAUAUGCUAGCAUCACAUUGUUUGGGCACAAAAGCACUUUGUGCCUCAUCGAUACAUUUUUCAAUAACGGUUCAAAGUCUACUAGCUAUUACCUUCGCAAUAAUUUUAUAAAGUACAUUGCAAAGACUAAUCGGCCUAUAUUUGUCAUUGUCAAGGGAUUAUUAACUUUGGGUAUAAGAACAAUAUUUGUAGAAUUAAUUUGACUAACCUCCAUAUCUCCAUUCAAUAUCUAGGAGCAAAAGGAUAUGACGUCUUCUCCCAAAAUCUGCCAACAUUUCUGGUAAAAAAUUGCUGGAAAUCCAUCCUCCCCUGGAGCCUUCGUUGGUCCCAUAUCAAAAAUUGCUUCCUUGAUUUCCUCCCUUGUAUAUGGUGCUGUAAGAUUUUGAUUGCCUUCUACUUGAAUACAUCGUUCAAUCCCUGAUAGUAUACAAUCAUUGUUUCCUCUUCUUCCAGUCGUGAACAGAUUCUGAAAAUAAUACCGCGCAGCUUCUUCAGUAUCUUGCAGAAACGCCAUUUCUCUCCCUUCUUCGUUCACCAACUUAUGAAUAGAAUUUUUGUGAAGCUUGACUAUGAAAGAAUUUUGUAUUUUUGUCCCUAAACUUUAGCCAAUUUAUUAUUUCUCUUUGUUCCCAAUAGCAUUCAUCUUUUUUGAUCUCAAAAUUCAAAUUUAUUCUUGUCUCUAUCAGCUCAGCUAAGAUUUUAUCAUCCCUUUCAGCAUCAACCAACUCCCCAAGUUUUUUUGUAAGAAUCUGUUUAGAUUUCUUCCUCUUAAUUUGAAUUUCCCCAGCCCACUCCUUUAAUCCUGUUUCCAAACCCUCCAACCUAUGCAACAAUUCCCCUGAUGAUUUCUCCCAUAUCCCUUUUACCACAUCAAUGAAAGAAUCCCCCAUUAGCCACCAAGCUUCAAAUCUAAAAUUACUAUUCUGUACUUUCACUGCAUUUUCAGUAGUACUGAUGAGAAUAGGACAAUGAUCUGAGAACGAGUGGAUAAGAUGUUGGGCCUUCACUUCUGGAAACAUCGUAAUCCAACCUAUGUUAGCAACUCCUCUAUCAAGCCAUUCUCGUAUAUUCGUCUCUGGUAGAUUACCUCUCUCCUAUAUGAACCAGCUUCCCUCAAACCCCACAUCAUACAAUUGACAUUCUUCAAGUGUUUUCCAAAAACAUUCCAUUCUUCUCUCGUAUCUGGGUAAUCCUCUUCUUUUUUCAAAUUCAUACAUGAUUUCAUUGAAAUCUUCGCAAACCAACCAAGGAAUGUCCACUCUUGUAGCUAAGCUCUUCAAAGUUUCCCAUGAAUCAAUCCUAUCCUGUAUGUAUGGAGAUCCAUAAAAUCCAGGAAGUCUAAAUUUUGCUCCUCUUUCAUUAUCUUCAACUAACACAUUAAUAUGUCUUUUAGAAAAACUACAAAGAAUUACGUUCACAUCAGUUCUCCAUGCUAAACAUAACCCUCUCUUUGUACCUUCAGAAUCGACUUAAAUACCAUUUAGAUACUGACAUCUCCUACGCAUUAGUUCCAUUUGCUUUCUGCUGAGUUUUGUCUCCAUAAAGAAGACUAUUUGGGGAGCUUUUAUCUUCAAUAAAUAGCAAAGUCUUCUAACCGUCUGUUGACUCCCCAAACCACGGACGUUUCAGCUUAUGAUUUUCAUUGCGUCCGGUCGGCUAACCUCUUGGUAACCGCCGAUGAUAAUAGAUUUUCACCUUCCAUCUCACCUCUAUUUCGUUUUUUCCCUUCCUCCCCCAUUACAGCUUCAUCUUCCAAAUCAUGAUCCAUUAAUGCAUUCGUCUGAUGGGGCCAUAACUUUUCUUUCUGUUUAUCCGUAGUUGAUCAUUUCCCUUUUGAGCUAAACCCUAAUAUAGGAUCAAUUGUUUUUUUCAUACUUCCUUUUGGAUCCCCAUUCCUUGGGCUCAGCCCCCUUGAUCUAUUUUCCAUCUAACAUCCUUCCCUGUCCCCCUCCCCUUCUUCUCGUAGCCAAAUACUAUUCAUUGAUAGAGCUCUACAGAAUGGGGCCCGUAAAGAUAAGUCCCAACCCAUCUCUGUGAGAUCUCUUCCCAUCAUCAUUUUUGUCUCGCAAUAAUAGUCAUUGUAUCCCAAUCGAAAACAAAAAAAAAAAACAAAAUAGCGAUAAACGUUCAUAUUUGAACUUGACAUUUGAGCAUACUCCACCAGACAUAACCUGCUUCUUUCUUCUCAAUGGCUUCCUAACAUCAAUCUGCACCCAAACUCUCAUAAAAUUGCAAUUUUCCUUACCCAAAUCUGAACCGUCAUACUCUAGGAAGACUCCAAUAAAGUUCCCCAAAAGCUUCGCUAAAUUCUUAGAGAAUAAACCAAUUGGAACCUCAUGGAUUUGUACCCAAAACGGCACAUAAACUAAAGGUAUUUUUAGCGGAUCUUCAACUCUUCUCAAUUUGCUUAAAAUUAAUAAAUGAUUGUUAAAAGUUCACGGAAGACCCUUCAAAACUCUUUCCAUAUCCAUGCUAUGAAAAAAUUUGAAAAGAUACCUUUUUUCCCCCAAAUCUCGGAUCUGCAUCCCACAGAUUGGAUGCCAUAAAUUUGCUAGAGUACUCUUCAUAGCCGAAAAAUUUAUAACACUUGCUGUUAAGAAACAACCCACAAGCUAAUAAUCUCCCACCUCUGUUUGUGUCCUUUGAUCACCUGGGAUCUACAAAAUUUCUUCUUCCUCUUCAUUAAGCGAUAAUUGUGCUAAUUCAGUCUCCAUGAUUGCAGGGAUUGAGAACCAGAGAAAACGCUUCACAUCUACCAAUUGAUAGAAUGAAGAUGUCCUUGAAACGACGUAGAGAAUCAAACAAGAAAAAAAAGAAAACACUCAAAAACAAACAAAACCCUAAAACUCGUGCCAGCGGCGGCAGACAGAACUGUGCUAAGAUAGUAGACCUAUUUCUUAUUAAUUCUUAAAGCUUAAGGUUUGAUAUUACAAGGAUACAAAAUUUUAUUUAAUUUAAUUUAUAAUCAUAAUCACAAUUCUUUUUUUUUUAAAAUCUAAUGAUAAGAAAUUCAAAUAUUAAGAUAAUAUUAUUUAUAUUUACGAUGAAUUUUAAAUUUAAUUUUAAUAUUAAGAUAAAUACUAUUUAAAUAUGAGAUUUUAAUUAAAUUUAAUUAUAUUUAAGAUUAAUUUUAAUUUUAAUUAAAUAAUGCA
rnacentral:lncRNA from 1 species